GACGAACGCUGGCGGCGUGCCUAACACAUGCAAGUCGAACGGAAAGGCACUGCGUUUGUGGGGUUCCCGGGUGGCGAACGGGUGAGUAACACGUGAGUAACCUGCCCUUGACUUUGGGAGAACUUCAGGAAACUGGGGCUAAUCCAGUACAGGAGCUCCUCCUGCAGGGUGGGGGUGGGAAAGUUUCGGCGGGCGGGGCUGGACUCGCGGCUUACCAGCUUGUUGGUGGGGUAGGGGCUGACCAAGGCUUUGACUGGUAGCCGGCCUGAGAGGGUGACCGGCCACAAUGGGACUGAGAUACGGCCCAGACUCGUACAGUAGGCAGCAGUGGCAAACAUUGCACAAUGAUCGGACGCCUGAUGCAACGACCCCGCGUUCGGGAUGCCGGCCUUCUGGUUGUAAACCGCUUUCGCCUGUGACGAAGCGUUAGUGACGGUAAUGGGUGAAUAAGCACCGGCUAACUACGUG
rnacentral:rRNA from 1 species